AACGAACGCUGGCGGCAGGCCUAACACAUGCAAGUCGAGCGCUGUAGCAAUACAGAGCGGCAGACGGGUGAGUAACACGUGGGAAUCUACCUAUCGGUGGGGAAUAACUUCGGGAAACUGAAGCUAAUACCGCAUACGCCCUGAGGGGGAAAGAUUUAUCGCCGAUAGAUGAGCCCGCGUCUGAUUAGCUAGUUGGUAAGGUAAAGGCUUACCAAGGCGACGAUCAGUAGCUGGUCUGAGAGGAUGAUCAGCCACAUUGGGACUGAGACACGGCCCAAACUCCUACGGGAGGCAGCAGUGGGGAAUAUUGGACAAUGGGGGCAACCCUGAUCCAGCCAUGCCGCGUGAGUGAUGAAGGCCCUAGGGUUGUAAAGCUCUUUCACCGGUGAAGAUAAUGACGGUAACCGGAGAAGAAGCCCCGGCUAACUUCGUGCCAGCAGCCGCGGUAAAAC
rnacentral:rRNA from 1 species